GUCACUUCUUGGCCUUUGGGCUAAGUUCAAAUGUAGUAUCUGUUCUUAUCAGUCAUAUUCAAGGCAUAAAAAUCUACAUAGAAAAUUACAGGAAAAGUUGUAGAGGAACCUAU